UGGGGAAUAUUGCACAAUGGGCGCAAGCCUGAUGCAGCAACGCCGCGUGAGUGAUGAAGGCUUUCGGGUCGUAAAACUCUGUCCUAAGGGAAGAACAAAUGACGGUACCUUAGGAGGAAGCCCCGGCAAACUACGUGCCAGCAGCCGCGGUAAUACGUAGGGGGCAAGCAUUAUCCGGAAUCACUGGGCGUAAAGGGUGCGUAGGCGGCUGAGCAAGCCAGGGGUGAAAGGCAGUAGCUUAACUAUUGUAAGCCUUUGGAACUGUUCAGCUUGAGUGUAGGAGAGGUAAGUGGAAUUCCUAGUGUAGCGGUGAAAUGCGUAGAUAUUAGGAGGAACACCAGUGGCGAAGGCGACUUACUGGACUAUAACUGACGCUGAGGCACGAAAGCGUGGGGAGCAAACA
rnacentral:rRNA from 1 species